rnacentral:lncRNA from 10 species
GGCAUGUCCCCCAGCUGGGCAAAGGUCCAUACACACAAAAGAAACAGCAAUGAGCUGCCAUGGGAUGGGAGAAGGCGCUCUGAAGACGGAUGCGGAGCCUGCAGAGUGGCUGUGUUUACCACCAACCCUGUCACACACCACCAGAGCUGACUGAUUUGAAUUUCAGACCAGAGUUGAGCCAGGGCCUGGAAGAAGUCACAAAGAAACACAACCUGGAAAAUGGAAGCAAGCUUAAAAGUAAAAUGUGGUGAAAGAAAUGAAAGGCUGGAAAGUAAACUAAAGAGGUUUCCUAGAAGUUACACACGUAGCAGAGAUGAAAAAAAGGGGAACAGACAACUGGACGAUCCAUUCAGGAGUCCCACAUGAACUGGCAGGAGCUCCGGGAAAAAAAAUGAGGAAUUAUUAAAGCAGUAAUAAAAAGAAAAUAACUAGAACAGAAGGACCUGAGCUUUCGGAAUAACAGCGCCCAGGAGCACAGUGAAUGAAAGGAACCCGCCCACACCAGACACAUCAUCCUGAAAGGAGGGUUACAUGAGGCUUCCAGAAAGAAACAGGCCACAAAGAAAUUACCUCUGAGUGCCCCACUGGAGGCAGCAAAGCAACGCCUUUGAAUCCCAGGGAAGAUGACUUCAUACCU